rnacentral:tRNA from 1 species
GGCUGAAUGGUGUAGUGGUUAGUGACCCUGACUGCUAUUCCGAAGGUCCCGGGUUAGAUUCCCGGCUGGGGCA